rnacentral:lncRNA from 1 species
UUGUAUCUGUAACUUGAAUAAACCCAAAAGCUACAAAUAUAUCAUAACCAACAUUCUAAAAUUGAUGUCAAGUUCCAAAAAAAAAAAACUUCUGAACUAUCUUCCUUAUAAAAUUUUUUAAAUUUUGCUAUGAAGUAAGAAGUGUGGUUUAAAAAUGCAGUCAGCUAAUAUAUUAUAGUUGUCCCUACUCAAUGAGGGGAAACUGAAUAAAGAAUUAAAAAAUAGAAAAUAAUUUGUGAGGUAUAUGAUUCCACAUUAUAAAAGAUUCUAUUUCAUGUGGACUAUAAAUAAAAAGCAGAGAAAGGAAAAUCUAGACCCAAAUAUUUUUAGAAGUUAGAUUUUUCAAUUCAAACAACAGUAGUUAGAGUUCUCUGAUAGCUCUUAUUUUAAAUUAUGAGAGGCCAGUGAACUUCUGAAAACUAAAGCAUAAAGUUUUAAGCACACAGUUUAUAACCAUUUUUUGGACAGAACUUCUAAACUUUAUUUAACCUUGGGAGACAGAUAUAUAAAUAUAUAGAUAUACAGACAUAUAGUUAUAGACAUGGAGAGACACAGAUUGUGUGUGUGUUGCAUCUGGUAACCUUUUUAACUUCAUAUAGCAAGUCACUGAUUUGAUCUUUCCUUCUUACCUGCCAUGAAGAUGAAAGCUGCCUAACCUGUAGAAGGCAAGCACAGCUGAUCUGAUGCAAAGUUAACCACCAAAUCAACAGGAGAAGCCAAAUUCUGACAAUUCCUAACUUCAAAAAAAUUUUCUCUUCCUUUCAGUGCCCAUGACUCUUUUACAUGAAAUCCAUGAUCAACUUUGUAUCAUUUAUACAGUAAACAAUCUCAAAUUCCUUGCCAGAUUUAAUUCACUGUUCUGUCACUCAACAGUAACAAUGAGUUGAGAACCCACUAAGAUCCACAGACUGUACUCGGCUUUUUACAAACAUUAUUCCCCACCAUACACCUGCAAGGUAGUUGCAUCCCCAUUUUACAGAUAAGAAAACUAAGUGUCAGAAGGGUUAAAUCACAUGACCAAGACCAAAUUACUAAAAGGUGGAGCCAGAUUCUAAUCUAGGUGCAUUAGGCCAAUUUAAGGGCUGUUUGAUAUUCCCACCAUUCUAUACACUCUUUAUACUAACCUUGUUCAUGGGUUAAAAAAUUAUCUCCUGCUAUCUGUUUUUUCCAGAAAUUUGUAUUUGGGAUUGAGGAAUAAAAUACAUUUCCAGGAGUCAUUUUUACAAAUACCAAAAUACAAUUUUCUCAAAUUCUUCUUGGCUUAACUUUUAAUAUUUAAAAUAUGCAUAUUAAAAGUUACAUUAAUGAUUAAGACUUAAAGGUUUGCACUGAUCACUGCAGUUUCCUACAGCAUUGAAGAUUCUAAACAGAGCAAAGAUCCGAAAGUUGGAGUAUUAUAUUGGUAAAAAAAUUGCCAAACGUUAUCUCCGUUUACUAAGUAUAAACACACCAAUUUUCUAAGAAAAUACGACGUGAAGCUCGGAACUGCUUAGUUCUAUUAUAAUCCUUCAUUCUAAAUACUAGAACCAAUCAGAAAAUAUAUCCAUAUAUUUUCUUCACAACCAGAGAAUAGUAUUUUACAAUCUGUCUGAUAUUAUUUCACUCUUGAAAUGUUUUUUCACUGGGAAUCGAAUUCUAACCUGGCAAUUUUUCACCAGCACACUGAGAUACCUUCCCACUGUUUUCUGACUUCAAUUUCUGUUCCUGAGCUGUCAGUGUAACUGCCAGGCUAUUUUAAAGGUAAUCUGUCUUUUGUUCGCUGCCAACUUUUUAAGAUGUCCUCUUUGUUGCUGGCUCUCUCUGUACCACUAUGAUGUGUCUAGAUGUUUAUUUCCUUUUAGCUAUUCUGCUUGUAUGUCUCUGAACUUACUCAAUUUGUGGACUGGAAUUUUUCAUUAGUUCUGGAAAAUCCUUAGCUAUUAUAUCUUCAAACAUUGCCUCUCCCAUCAUUUCCCUCUUCUACAAUUAGAAAACUAAAUACUGUUAGACCUUCUCAUUCUGUGUUCUAUACAUCUUAAUCCCUUUCUUUUUACCCAUUUCCUUGUCUUUCUGUGCUACAUUCUGAGUAAUUUCUAUGUUCAGUUCAUUAAUUUCAUUAAUUGUCUUUAGUUGUAUUUAAUCUACUAUUAAGUAUACCUACUGAAUUUUUGUUAUAAUUUGUAUUUUUUAUUUCUAGAAGUCUUGUUCAAGUCUUUUUCAAAUCUACUAAAUGUCUCAUCCCCUGCAGGUAGUCCAUCUUUUUGUAAACAUAAUAAACAGCUGCUUAAUAAUUGCUGUCUGGUAAUUCCAAAAUCUGAAGUUUCUGAGGGUCUACUUCUGUUAACUCUUGCUACUGCUUCUCAUUCAUGGGGAUUUGUUUCCAUGAGCGGUUCAUUAUAUUCUAUUGUGAUCUAUUUCUUGGGAAAAGGAUUUGGGGGAAUUCCCUAGGACGAAAGGUAAAAUGUAUUCUACCUGAGAGGACUUUCAUUUGCUUCUCCCAGUAAUCUAGAACCACUUAAAAUUCACAAUUUAAGAUAAGGUUUGUAGCACCCAGGUGACACUGAAUAUGGGCUGCAAAUCAACAAGAGGAAUAGGGAUCUUUUUCAGGCCCAAGAAAACAAUUCUUGCAGCCUCCUGUGAGCAAGAGCACGUGAAGGAUUUUAAUCUUGGUUUAAACAUAUUCUAUAGACCUAGCUCUUUGAAGUCUCAGUUUUUUUAAGUAAGGAAUUUCCUAUUAGACUCCUCCUUGGAGUUCUCCUUAAAGUCCUCCUUAAUUUCUAUACCUUGUGAGCCCUUCAAGACCAAAGUAAAAGUUCCCUAGAAUAUGGCAAAUAUCCUCAAAGGAAACGCAGUUUUAAUAUUCUGCUUACUUUCCUGAAUUCCUACUUUCAUGUAGAUUUUGGCCUGUUGAUGUCUUAUUGUCAUGUUAGCUCUUAAGAGGUGAAAAAAAAUUUUUUUCUAGUAUUUCUUUUCAAGGAGUUACCCUGUCCAUAUAACCUAGUUGACUAUAUUAUCCUAUUUUCAAUUUUAAAAGGUUGCUUAUUUUUAUACUUCAAUCACUAAAAGUUUCAUUUUGUGGGGGAGUGUAACACUGACAGUAAGAAACAAUUUGUUUUUAUUCACCUUGAUUUUCUGGAACUGUUUACAACAAAAAUUUUCCAAACCCCAAAACAUAUCAAUUCCUUUAUAUCCUAAAACAAUUAGAGAUGGACAAGAUUCUGAAAUUAAUGCCCAAAACAGACGUCUUUUUAACUAAGGAAUUUAUUAGUCUACGAAUUUUUCCCUACUAGAAACAGGCAUAAUAUACAAAAAUUCUAUAUCUGACAAACUCCUAGAAGAUGACCAGAAUUUUAAGAAGAUAACAAAUAAGGGAGAACUAAAUUCAACUUUGUUUCUGCCAGAGUUCCCUUCGUGGCUCGGCAGUUAAAGAACCUAACUAGGAUCCAUGAGAAUGCAGGUUCAAUCCCUGGCCUUGCUCAGUGGGCUAAGGAUCUGCUGUUGCUGUGAGCUGUGGUGUAGGUCACAGACAUGGCUCUGAUCUGGUGUUGCUGUGGCUGUGGCAUAGGCCGACAGCUGUGGCUCCUAUUUGACCUCUAGCCUAGGAACUUCCAUAUACUGCAGGUUCAGCCCUAAAAAAAGCAAAAAAAAAACCCAAAAAAAAACCAAAAAAAAUUGUUUUUGCCAAGAAAGAAAAUCAUAAAGAAAAAGACUAAUAUAUGGAACUACAUAAAAAUGUAAUAAUUCUUCAUAUGAAUUUUUAAAAGCAUAAGCAAAAUUGAAAGACAAAAUUGAGGAUACUUACAAUAUAUGUAAUAGGGUCAAAAUCUAUAACAUACAAAAAGCUCUUCAAAAUCAUUAAGAAAAUAAACACCUCCCAAAAUGGACAAAGGACAUAAAUAGGCACUAAAGAAGUAAUAAAAGCAACCUAUCAACUUUUACCAUUAGGUUAACAAAAACCAAUGAUUUACAAUUCCUUCUGAUAGCAAGGUUACAGGCAAAUGUAAUUUAUACCCUGAAUUAAAAGUUGGGGUACAAAUUAAUAUUAUCUAUUAGGCAAGUUGGCAAUAGGUAUCAAAAAUCUAAAUUAUACAUACCCUUAAAUACAAUAAUCUCACUACUAGACAUAUAUUUAGGAAUAUAACAUCAAUGCAUGAGGACUUAUGAAAUACAAAAGUUAAAAAUAAAACACAAAACUAGUUAAAAAGGAGUUCUAGGCACACUUAAAACUUAAAAACUAAGAAACCAUACAAGUAAAAACAAAGAAAUAUAAUUAUUGUUUAAGAAUAGUAAUCAGUUACUUUUUAAAAUUCCACUUUAUAUUGUACUUUUUAAAAACUGAUCAUAUUAUUAUCAUGAUUCUUUGGAGACUGAAAGCCUAGACAAACUCAUCCAAUAAUUUCUAUAGUUUUUUGUUUGUUUGUUAGGUCUGUGUAGUGGAUUAAACAUGGUCACACAUUUCUGUCACUUUCUCCACCAGAAGAGUGAGUUUAAUUCUCUUCCCAUUGAAUGUGGAGUGACUGUCUAUUUAACAAAAAAAAUACAGCAGAAGUAACACUCAUCAAUUUUUAGCCUAAUCCUUAAGAGCACUGCCUGCUUCCACUUCCUACCUCUUAGAAUGUUUGUUCUUAGGACACUCAUUCUCAGAGUCCAUCAGUCAUACCCAGACUACAUGGAGAGGCCUCACAUCGAGUUCCCAUGACAGCAGGUAGCAUUAAAUGCCAACCAUGUUGAGUGAGCCAUCUUAGAAGUGGAAAGAAACUA